rnacentral:rRNA from 1 species
UGGUCAAGUUAUUAAGGGUGCAGGGCGGAUGCCUUGGCACUAGGAGCCGAUGAAGGACGUGAUAAGCUGCGAUAAGCUUCGGGGAGUUGCACGUAAACUUUGAUCCGAAGAUUUCCGAAUGAGGAAACUCACUUAGAGUAAUGUCUAAGUAUCAUUAAGUGAAUACAUAGCUUAAUGAGGGGAACUCAGGGAACUGAAACAUCUAAGUACCUGAAGGAAGAGAAAGAAAUUCGAUUCCGUAAGUAGCGG